rnacentral:rRNA from 1 species
GAUGAACGCUGGCGGCGUGCCUAAUACAUGUAAGUCGAGCGAACGGACUAGAAGCUUGCUUCUCUGAUGUUAGCGGCGGACGGGUGAGUAACACGUGGAUAACCUACCUAUAAGACUGGGAUAACUUCGGGAAACCGUAGCUAAUACCGGAUAAUAUUUUGAACCGCAUGGUUCAAAAGUGAAAGACGGUCUUGCUGUCACUUAUAGAUGGAUCCGCGCUGCAUUAGCUAGUUGGUAAGGUAACGGCUUACCAAGGCAACGAUGCAUAGCCGACCUGAGAGGGUGAUCGGCCACACUGGAACUGAGACACGGUCCAGACUCCUACGGGAGGCAGCAGUAGGGAAUCUUCCGCAAUGGGCGAAAGCCUGACGGAGCAACGCCGCGUGAGUGAUGAAGGUCUUCGGAUCGUAAAACUCUGUUAUUAGGGAAGAACAUAUGUGUAAGUAACUGUGCACAUCUUGACGGUACCUAAUCAGAAAGCCACGGCUAACUACGUG